CGAACGCUUUUCGAACGAGUUUUCUUUGCAGAGCGUAUCACUCCGCCGUCCAUAGCAACGCCGUUGCUAAGGACAACAUUUUCGCGGGCGGCGGGCUGAAAUUUCAUCCGAGUUGUUGACAGCCGAUUACAUCACCAGUUUCGGCCUCUGCGUCAAGAUGGCGAUCAUCAUAGGCUUCACAGACUAGAUUGGUAAAAGCCACACCCAGUGGGAUUGUCACCAGCAGGACACCAGGAUGUUAUAUUGUAUAUUUAGCUUGAGAUUAUGGAUAUAUAUAAGAUGUAUUAUGUAUUGAGAUCUUAAUUUCCAUCUAUUCUGUUUAUUGUAAUCUUAAUACAAUUUGGGAUCAUAUUUAAUAGUCGAUUCAGCAUUCAAUGUCUACUGUAACUUUUGAGCAUGUGUUAAGUAAUAUAUGUACUGUAUGAGAUGUACUAUGUAUACAUGUAAUGAUCCCAAGUAUUUGAUAUCCCAGUCCACAACAAAAUGUACUACUUUGUUUUUUUGUUUGGUAAUGAGAUAAAGGUUGAAGCAACGUUAAUGGCUCUUGGGUAAUUUUGUGUAUAAUUGUUAGGAUGUAUGUGAGAGAGUUAUGUUUAGGGAUUUGACAACACCCAGCACUUUUAGAAAUAUGCAAAUGCUUUUGUGUAAAACUAGGGACAUGAGGACCUGUUAUCUUAUUAUAGUAAGCAGUACACAUGGACUAUACAAGAUAACAGAUCCAGGAUAAACUUACCCAUAAUCACAGCAUGCAUGUUGCACUGUCCUGACUUGGUACCAGAAGCGUUGGCUUAUGUCCAUAGGCUACUUUUUUACUGAGCCAGCAGGUCGAUAAAUGUAACUUUUCUUAAGUAACUAUUCAAACCCAGCGCCAUUCAAAUCGAGAAAAACGGAUACAAUAAUUAUUCUUUGAAUUCUCCCCAAUCAUGAAUCAAUGUUUGAGGUAUUCUAGUUCUAAUGGUCCGCUUGCUCUAAUUAGAUGUGCGUUUUUCAAAGGUCAGGAAGCUACGAGAGUAUAAUGUUUCCUCGC